CCUACGGGGCGCAGCAGUGGGGGAUAUUGCACAAUGGGGGAAACCCUGAUGCAGCGACGCCGCGUGAGCGAUGAAGUAUUUCGGUAUGUAAAGCUCUAUCAGCAGGGAAGAAAAUGACGGUACCUGACUAAGAAGCCCCGGCUAACUACGUGCCAGCAGCCGCGGUAAUACGUAGGGGGCGAGCGUUAUCCGGAUUUACUGGGUGUAAAGGGAGCGUAGACGGUGAGACAAGUCUGAAGUGAAAGCCCGGGGCUCAACCCCGGGACUGCUUUGGAAACUGCCUGACUGGAGGGCUGGAGAGGCAG
rnacentral:rRNA from 1 species